UGCACAUAUGGGCCUCUGUUUAUGACAGUGCCCUUACUCUAUCAGCAAUGAGUCUAUCAGCUGUUCCCAUUCAGAGGUGUCACUUGAGGCAGAGGGUGAUUCUUCCUGACACCAGUCAGGUUCAAUAGUUGGUUGGCUUGAGUCGUCUUCUGGUGGCUUUGCCAAAUCCGGUAUUUCAGUAGGCGAGGUCCUCUCUGUCUCUACCCUUGGUGGGUAAGACUGGGGAAGAGGACCAGGAGGUGACUGUGAUUGGCCUCCAACAUAGUCUCCCUGUUGGUUGUACUGGUCUCCAUUGGCUACAGAAUACGCAGGUCAGCCACCAGGGGGAGACUCAUCGAGGCCUGGUGACGGAUGGAGUAUACAUCACCAGGCGAUGGCUCCAUCUGCUGGACGUGCCAGGUCUCGACGGCUCUCCGGAAAGGACUAAUUGGGUCUGAUUGGGGAAUGGUCCGUAAUAAAGGGCUGAUUGCUCACCAGCUUUACAACUCCCAUAAAGCUGCCAGAAGGGCAGCACACAGCGGAGAGACUGGGGGAGGAAAGGACUCCUGUAUAGUUGGGGACAGUACCAGAGGUAACAGGAGGGAGUUCAGUUUUUGAUCCCCACAGGAUACAGCAAGACCCGGAGCCCAGAAGAUGGUAUCCCAGAGAGGGUCUCUUGGGGGAGACCUAUUCUUUUCAUGUGGACUAUUAUUUUAAUAAACACCUUUGAAACUGAGCUAAUCCUACUCUGUCCAUGUCUGAUCUGUGUAAACGUUUUGACCCAACCCCCUGGUCUGCCACAAGUGGGGUAGAAUGAAGGCACUCUGAUAAUGUGGUCAGAUCAGUAUUGACAUUUACGCAGCAUCAACAUGGACGAGUUGAUAACUCAGUUCAUCCGGGCCCAACAAGCCCAACAGGCGGUUCAGGAACAAAUGCUGGAGGAACAGCGGCUACAAAACGUCCGCCUCAUUGAGGAAAUCAGGAAGCUACAAGGAGGAGCGUCUACUGUAUCACAUCCAAACAAGUUUAUAAUCAAGCUAACAGAAGAUGACGACAUCGAAACCUACCUCUGUACGUUUGAAUGGACAGCAAUACAGGCAGGAUGGCCAAGGCAGAAGUGGGCCAGUCUGCUGGCCCGAGCCUCUCUGGGAAUGCCCAAAAGUCGUAUUGGGACCUGAACUAUGAACAGGCUACGACGGACUCAAACGGGAGAUACUCAGCCGCUACGGGUACAGCCUGGCCCAUCGGGCUCAACUAUGCCAUGACUGGAGGCUCAUAGCCGACGCUUCCCCCUCAGCCCAGAUGAGAGACCUACUGUGCAUCACCAGGGGAUGGCUCCUAACUGACGUAUCCACCCUCUCCAUCCUAGACAAAGUAGUCCUGGAUCGCUUCCUACGGGCAUUACCCCACGACAUAAAAAGGGCAGCGAGUCUAUGUGCGCACCAGACAUUUGGAGGGCCUCCUGGAAGCAGUGGAGAUGCAUCAGAACAUUCAGGCCCUGCUGAGUGGGAGCCGGGCCGAGUCAGCAAACGGUUCGAGGAGUCGGAAGGACAGCCCCACUGCUGUGUACCUCGAACCGACAGUCGGCAGGGCCAAAGGACCGCAAACCCGUGGAGAGACGGCUGGGGUAGGGCUGACCCGCCACCGACAACCCCAGGUAGAUGUAGACCAAAGGAGGUGUUUUGAGUGUGGUGCCCGGGGGCACAUUGCCUGGAAUUGCCCGACUCGAGAGGAGUCGAUGCCAUCAGCAAGCUUCGGAGGCGAGGUGGGUCAAGCAGUAAACUACGUCACCUCCUGUUGGGCACAUCACGAAUCAACUGCACCCAUGGUCACGGACAAGGUUGACGGACACGACACGGAAGCUCUAUUAGACUCCGGAAGUAUGGUUACCCUCGUAAUCACGAGCUUGCUGAACCAGAAUACCAAACGUGGUAGGGAGAUGUCCAUUUCCUGUGUUCACAGGGAUACAAAGCGGUAUCCAACCGUAUGGGCCAAAAUCGUGAUGCCACAAGGGAACUGCCAGAUGAUGGUAGGUGCAGUACCUGAGUUGCCGGCACCUCUCCUAGUGGGACGAGAUUGUCCGCUGUUCACGGC